UAGGGAAUUUUCGUCAAUGGGGGAAACCCUGAACGAGCAAUGCCGCGUGAGUGAAGAAGGUCUUCGGAUCGUAAAGCUCUGUUGUAAGUGAAGAACGGCUCAUAGAGGAAAUGCUAUGGGAGUGACGGUAGCUUACCAGAAAGCCACGGCUAACUACGUGCCAGCAGCCGCGGUAAUACGUAGGUGGCAAGCGUUAUCCGGAAUCAUUGGGCGUAAAGGGUGCGUAGGUGGCGUACUAAGUCUGUAGUAAAAGGCAAUGGCUCAACCAUUGUAAGCUAUGGAAACUGGUAUGCUGGAGUGCAGAAGAGGGCGAUGGAAUUCCAUGUGUAGCGGUAAAAUGCGUAGAUAUAUGGAGGAACACCAGUGGCGAAGGCGGUCGCCUGGUCUGUAACUGACACUG
rnacentral:rRNA from 1 species